rnacentral:tRNA from 1 species
AGAAUAGAAGUUUUUAAAUAUCUGACCUGCACUCAGAAGAUGACGGUAUUACGUCCUAUUUUA